rnacentral:rRNA from 1 species
GACGAACGCUGUCGGCGUGCUUAACACAUGCAAGUCGAACGGAAAGGCCCUGCUUUUGUGGGGUGCUCGAGUGGCGAACGGGUGAGUAACACGUGAGUAACCUGCCCUUGACUUUGGGAUAACUUCAGGAAACUGGGGCUAAUACCGGAUAGGAGCUCCUGCUGCAUGGUGGGGGUUGGAAAGUUUCGGCGGUUGGGGAUGGACUCGCGGCUUAUCAGCUUGUUGGUGGGGUAGUGGCUUACCAAGGCUUUGACGGGUAGCCGGCCUGAGAGGGUGACCGGCCACAUUGGGACUGAGAUACGGCCCAGACUCCUACGGGAGGCAGCAGUGGGGAAUAUUGCACAAUGGGCGGAAGCCUGAUGCAGCAACGCCGCGUGCGGGAUGACGGCCUUCGGGUUGUAAACCGCUUUCGCCUGUGACGAAGCGUGAGUGACGGUAAUGGGUAAAGAAGCACCGGCUAACUACGUGCCAGCAGCCGCGGUGAUACGUAGGGUGCGGGCGUUGUCCGGAUUUAUUGGGCGUAAGGGGCUCGUAGGUGGUUGAUCGCGUCGGAAGUGUAAUCUCGGGGCUUAACCCUGAGCGUGCUUUCGAUACGGGUUGACUUGAGGAAGGUAGGGGAGAAUGGAAUUCCUGGUGGAGCGGUGGAAUGCGCAGAUAUCAGGAGGAACACCAGUGGCGAAGGCGGUUCUCUGGGCCUUUCCUGACGCUGAGGAGCGAAAGCGUGGGGAGCGAACAGGCUUAGAUACCCUGGUAGUCCACGCUGUAAACGGUGGGUACUAGGUGUGGGGUCCAUUCCACGGGUUCCGUGCCGUAGCUAACGCUUUAAGUACCCCGCCUGGGGAGUACGGCCGCAAGGCUAAAACUCAAAGGAAUUGACGGGGCCCCGCACAAGCGGCGGAGCAUGCGGAUUAAUUCGAUGCAACGCGUAGAACCUUACCUGGGUUUGACAUGGAUCGGGAGUGCUCAGAGAUGGGUGUGCCUCUUUUGGGGUCGGUUCACAGGUGGUGCAUGGCUGUCGUCAGCUCGUGUCGUGAGAUGUUGGGUUAAGUCCCGCAACGAGCGCAACCCUUGUUCACUGUUGCCAGCACGUUAUGGUGGGGACUCAGUGGAGACCGCCGGGGUCAACUCGGAGGAAGGUGGGGAUGACGUCAAGUCAUCAUGCCCCUUAUGUCAGGGCUUCACGCAUGCUACAAUGGCUGGUACAGAGAGUGGCGAGCCUGUGAGGGUGAGCGAAUCUCGGAAAGCCGGUCUCAGUUCGGAUUGGGGUCUGCAACUCGACCUCAUGAAGUCGGAGUCGCUGGUAAUCGCAGAUCAGCAACGCUGCGGUGAAUACGUUCCCGGG